rnacentral:rRNA from 2 species
GGUCUUGACAUCCACGGAAGUUUUCAGAGAUGAGAAUGUGCCUUCGGGAACCGUGAGACAGGUGCUGCAUGGCUGUCGUCAGCUCGUGUUGUGAAAUGUUGGGUUAAGUCCCGCAACGAGCGCAACCCUUAUCCUUUGUUGCCAGCGGUCCGGCCGGGAACUCAAAGGAGACUGCCAGUGAUAAACUGGAGGAAGGUGGGGAUGACGUCAAGUCAUCAUGGCCCUUACGACCAGGGCUACACACGUGCUACAAUGGCGCAUACAAAGAGAAGCGACCUCGCGAGAGCAAGCGGACCUCAUAAAGUGCGUCGUAGUCCGGAUUGGAGUCUGCAACUCGACUCCAUGAAGUCGGAAUCGCUAGUAAUCGUGGAUCAGAAUGCCACGGUGAAUACGUUCCCGGGCCUUGUACACACCGCCCGUCACACCAUGGGAGUGGGUUGCAAAAGAAGUAGGUAGCUUAACCUUCGGGAGGGCGCUUACCACUUUGUGAUUCAUGACUGGGGUGAAGUCGUAACAAGGUAACCGUAGGGGAACCUGCGGUUGGAUCAC